rnacentral:lncRNA from 1 species
UUGUCUCAGAAGAUACUGGGGUUUGAUUAUCAUAUAACUAAAAUCAUCACUGAAACAGAAAAAUGUCCCCUACAUGUAAAGCCUCACAAUACCAUAGGGAUUCAAUCAAUAUUUAUUGAAUCAAUGUCCUUGUCACUCUAAGUACAAGGGAGGAGGUCUUGGAAGCAUCUAGGUCCUGUCCAGUUUAGGAUUUUCCCUGUUCUUUAAACUCUCUAACCCAUUAAAUACCAAAUAGGGAUUCAGCCAGAAUUAGAACAUAGUCACCAGAAAAAUCUCUGGCUUUUCUCUGACACUGCUUCUGAGAAAGGAAUUCAGUGUAUGUAAAUAGAUGAAAGAGAGAAAAAGGAAGAGAAAGAAAGACAAGGUGUAGAGGAUUUGAAGAAAUCAUUUACAUUUAGGAUUUUCUUGCCUCUCUGUACUCAGAUUCUCUUGAGUGCCUUUAAUUUAAAAGAAAGAAAAAGAAGGCGUUCCCGUUGUGGCACAGUGGUUAACGAAUCCGACUAGGAACCGUGAGGUUGCAGGUUCAGUCCCUGCCCUUGCUCAGUGGGUUAAUGAUCCGGCGUUACCGUGAGCUGUGGUGUAGGUCGCAGACGCGGCUCGGAUCCUGCGUUGCCGUGGCUCUGGCGUAGGCUGGUGGCUACAGCUCCGAUUCGACCCCUAGCCUGGGAACCUCCAUAUGCCGCGGGAGCGGCCUAAGAAAUAGCAAAAAAAAGACAAAAAAAAAAAAGAAGAAGAAGAAGAAGAAGAAGAAGAAAGACCUGGGAGCUCCCUGGUGGCUCAGCAGGUUAAGGGUCUGGCAUUGCCACUGCUGUGAAUCUGAUUACUACUGUGGUAUGGGUUUGACCCUUGGCCCCAGAACUUUUGCAUGCUGUGGACGCAGCCAAAAAAACAAACAAACAAAAAAGCACUGAAUGCCUCUGUGAUUCCAGAUUACUCCCCCAAAUCAGAGGUGCAGUGAGGGCUGAGAUGCAGACAGAAGUUGAGAAGAAACAGAGGAUUUGGGUAGUGAAAGGCAGCUCUCCCAGCCUCCCUUCUGGAAAACAUCAACCAAUAGAAAGAAGAUGUGGGUGGAAAAUGGCCAUGCAAAUAAAGUCCAUGUUGCAUGACUUGGUCUGCAGAUGUUUGAAAUCCUGUACGAUUUCUCCAGCCAGAUACAUUCUCUAUUAUUUUUGCCCUCUGAAGCCUCAUAACAAAUAUGGGCCCUUGUUGAGGCUUAUUUACCCUCAGGGUGCUCUCAAGUGAGGAAGAAACUUUAUGAAGACAGUGACUUUGUACUUGCCAUUUCUUUUUCAAUGAAUAACUCAAAAUAGAGACCAAAUCUGAGCUCCCCUACAGUGCAGUGAUGAAUUUCACAAUGAUAUGUAUGAACUCUGCCAUCUUGUUCUUGUCACAGGAGCCCUGACACCCAGGGCUUCUCGACGUGUCCACCAAAUGAUGCUCUCAGGCAGUGAGACAGCUGGCACAGCUUUCACAAGAGGACUCCAGCAGAAUCCCGGGUCAUCAAUUAGUCGUAAUUGGCAGGGCAGACCUUUGACUGCAGCUAAUGGCCUGAGGUCUCCAGGAUUCAAUUCACCCUGCCCUCUGCCCUCUAGCAAGCCUGUUUCUGUGUUUGAUAGUGGUUUUCUACACAUCAUCUAGACAGCACAUCACACUGUUGCCCUGGGCAUUGUAAUAGCACAGUGGGUUAGGUUCCAAACCUCUGGCAGCAUUGUAGUUCUUGAUGUGAUUUAAUGGAGAAUAAGUGGCUCCAGGCUUGAUCCAGGGAGAUGGCCCAUCCAACCCCUUAACCUUAAGGGGGGUUUUCGUGGAGGCUGCAAGGCACAGGAAAGCAGGCAGAAGAAGCAUAAUUCUCCACCUGCUAUUGGGGCAGGGAGAGAAGCAUCAGAAGCAUCCUGAAGGAGUGCAGUUCUUUUAUGAGGGGGACAGUGGUGAGCCGCUAAAAUAUUAAUGGCUAUCUAGCGGGUCAGCAGGUCAAUCCAGCGCUAUUAGCCAGCAGCGUAAUUGGUAUCCGCAUAACUCUCUAAUUGAGUGCAGGGAUUUUCUCCUGUGUAACCCCCUUUGAACUAGAGAAUAUUCUCAUCUGGAGGUGGAAUCCUUUCUCCACUGGCUCUUUGUUCUCUUCUCUGAGGACUUAGUCUGUAAAAUUUCAGUCUCCUGCUGUAGCAUCCACACCUUUUCAGAAUCGGAGUAGAAAGUGCAUUACUUGUAACAGUGCAUGCGCGCGCAUGCGCACAUUCAAACGCAAAAGGAACGCUUCAAAACGGCUUAGGGAUGCUUCCAAUUUGAGUCUAGUUCUUUUCUUCCUCCUCCUUUUUGGUGUUAGUAUUGCUCAAGACUACUACAUUCAUUCUGUAACUUAUAAGUGGGUCCCCACUCACCGUGAGAAGCACUAAUCACGUGCACACUAGGACUACUUCCACUUAUCCUCUGUGUUUUCAUUGACCUCUAGGUUUUACUAUUUCUUGUGCCAAUUUUUACAUCUGUUCACUAUUUGAAAAUAAUUUAGCUUGUCAAUAUUUAUGCGUACCUUUAAAAGUUCCUCAGCAGAUCCUCAAAACAUGUCAGUAUUUGAUUUCAUCUCUGCUACUUCAUUUCUUGUCUCUGCCCCAAAGCCAUUACGAUAUCAGAAACAGUAUGAAAAGAUAGACAGCAAAGUGUUAACAGAUUCUCCCUCAGAUUAUAAGUAAUUUUUAAAGUCUGUAUCUUCUUUUUAUCUUUCUUUUUUGGGGGGAGGGGGAGCGCACCUGCAGCAUAUGGAGGUUCCCAGGCUAGGGGUCCAAUUGGAGCUGUAGCAGCCAGCCUAGGCCACAGCCACACCACCGCCACAGCAACACCAGGUCUUUAACCCGCUGAGCAAGGCCACAGAUGGAACCCGCAUCCUCAUGGAUACUAGCCAGAAUCCUUACCCUCUGUGCCACUGUGGGAACCCCAAGUCUGUAUCUUCUAAUACAUAUUAUUUAUUUAAAAAUAGUCCAAGUUUGGAGUUCCUAUUGUGGCUCAAUGGGUUAAGAACCCAUAGGGUUCAAGAGGAUGUGGGUUCAAUCCCUGGCCUGGCUCAGUGGGCUAAGGAUCUGGCUUUGCUAGAAGCUCCAGUGUAGGUCACAGAUGUGGCUAGGAUCUGAUGUUGCCAUGGCUGUGGCAUAGGCUGGCAGCUGCAUCUCUGAUUCAACCCUUAGCCCAGGAACUUCCAUA